rnacentral:rRNA from 1 species
CACGUAGGGCGCAAGCGUUGUCCGGAAUUAUUGGGCGUAAAGAGCUCGUAGGCGGCUUGUCACGUCUGCUGUGAAAUCCCGGGCUCAACCCGGGCGUGCAGUGGAUACGGGCUGGCUAGAGGCAGGCAGGGGAGAACGGAAUUCCCGGUGUAGCGGUGAAAUGCGCAGAUAUCGGGAGGAACACCGGUGGCGAAGGGCGGUUCUCUGGGGCCUGUCUGACGCUGAGGAGCGAAGCGUGGGGAGCGAACAGG